UAUAUAUAAAUGUCACAAAACAUAUAAAUUUUUGAAAUUUAAAAUAUUAAUUUAAUUUAAUAUAUAUAA
rnacentral:tRNA from 1 species